AAGUCGUAACAAGGUUUCCGUAGGUGAACCUGCGGAAGGAUCAUUAUCCAUCUCACCAGGUGUGGUUGCGGCCUCCGGGGGCGUGGGCGUCUUCUGGCGUCCUCUCUCCCGGGCGGUAGGGGUAACACCCUCACGCGCCACAUUUCUGAAUCCUUUUUUUACGAGCACCUUUCGUUCUCCUUCGGUGGGGCAACCUGCCGCUGGAACCUAUCAAACUCUUUUGCAUCUAGCAUUACCUGUUCUGAUACAAACAAUCGUUACAACUUUCAACAAUGGAUCUCUUGGCUCUG
rnacentral:misc_RNA from 1 species